rnacentral:rRNA from 1 species
UACAUGGGGUGCAAACGUUGCUCGGAAUUAUUGGGCGUAAAGCGCGCGUAGGCGGUUAUCUAAGUCGGAUGUGAAAGCCCUCGGCUUAACUGAGGAAGUGCACCCGAAACUGGAUAGCUAGAGUACGAAAGAGGGUCGCGGAAUUCCCGGUGUAGAGGUGAAAUUCGUAGAUAUGGGGAGGAACACCGGUGGCGAAGGCGGCCACCUGGACGGUAACUGACGCUGAGACGCGAAAGCGUGGGGAGCAAACAGG